rnacentral:rRNA from 1 species
UACGGGGGUGCGAGCGUUGUCCGGAAUCACUGGGCGUAAAGGGCGCGUAGGUGGCCUUGUAAGUCUGUGGUGAAAGCCCGGAGCUCAACUCCGGGUCUGCCGCGGAUACUGCGAGGCUUGAGUGCUGUAGAGGGGGUAGAAUGCCGGGUGUAGGCGGUGAAAUGCGCAGAUAUCGGGAGGAACACCGGUGGCGAAGGCGGUUCUCUGGGCCUGUACUGACGCUGAGGA